GACGAACGCUGGCGGCGUGCUUAACACAUGCAAGUCGAACGGAAAGGCCCUGCUUUUGUGGGGUGCUCGAGUGGCGAACGGGUGAGUAACACGUGAGUAACCUGCCCUUGACUUUGGGAUAACUUCAGGAAACUGGGGCUAAUACCGGAUAUGAGCUCCUGCUGCAUGGUGGGGGUUGGAAAGUUUCGGCGGUUGGGGAUGGACUCGCGGCUUAUCAGCUUGUUGGUGGGGUAGUGGCUUACCAAGGCUUUGACGGGUAGCCGGCCUGAGAGGGUGACCGGCCACAUUGGGACUGAGAUACGGCCCAGACUCCUACGGGAGGCAGCAGGGGGGAAUAUUGCACAAUGGGCGGAAGCCUGAUGCAGCAACGCCGCGUGCGGGAUGACGGCCUUCGGGUGGUAAACCGCUUUCGCCUGUGACGAAGCGUGAGUGACGGUAAUGGGUAAAGAAGCACCGGCUAACUACGUG
rnacentral:rRNA from 1 species